GAAUAUUGGGCGUAAGAGCUCGUAGGCGGUUUGUCGCGUCUGCUGUGAAAUCCGGAGGCUCAACCUCCGGCCUGCAGUGGGUACGGGCAGACUAGAGUGCGGUAGGGGAGAUUGGAAUUCCUGGUGUAGCGGUGGAAUGCGCAGAUAUCAGGAGGAACACCGAUGGCGAAGGCAGAUCUCUGGGCCGUAACUGACGCUGAGGAGCGAAAGGGUGGGGAGCAAACAGGCUUAGAUACCCUGGUAGUCCACCCCGUAAACGUUGGGAACUAGUUGUGGGGUCCAUUCCACGGAUUCCGUGACGCAGCUAACGCAUUAUGUUCCCCGCCUGGGGAGCACGGCCGCAAGGCUAAAACUAAAAAGAAUUGACGUCGACCCGCACAAUCGUCUUAGCAUGC
rnacentral:rRNA from 1 species